CUGGGAGGCAGGGAAGCAGGGCGUCAGUGUGUACCUGGACCCAAGGUGACUGUGUGGGCAGGGAGCAGUGAGGAAAGUAGGAGCCCGUGUGCCCAGUUAAGGGGUUGAACUUGACCCUGGCAGGUCAUUAAAGAUUCCUCAGGAGACCUAGGUAUUGUGGCUCAGGGCUGUAAUUCCCGUGCUAAUGCACGAAGGCUAAUGCAGGAGGAUCCCUCGAACCCAGGAGUUCAGGACAAGCCUGGGCAGCAUAGCACGACCCCAUCUCUGCAAAAAUGAAAAUAAAAAGAUUGACUGACAUAGUGAUGCACUUGUAGUUCCCACUACUCAGAAGGAUGAGGCAGGAGGAUCGAUUGAUCCUAGAACGUCAACACUACAGUGAGUUAUGGUGGUGCCACUGCGUUCCAGCCUGGGUAACAGAGCAAAAAAAAAAAAUAUUGAAAAUAAAAAUAAAGAUUCCUCAGGAGGAGCA
rnacentral:lncRNA from 1 species